rnacentral:SRP_RNA from 13 species
GCUGGGCAUGGCAGUGCGUGCCUAUAGUCCCAGCUACUUGGAAGGCUGGAGGAUCGCUUGAGUCCAGGAGUUCUAGGCUGUAGUGCGCUAUGCCGAUCAGGUGUCCGCACUAAGUUCAGCAUCAAUAUGGUGACCCCCCAGGAGUGGGGGACCACCAGGUUGCCUAAGGAGGGUGAACCGGCCCAGGUCGGAAAUGAUGGACGUCAAAACUCCCAUGCUGAUCAGUAGUGGGAUCAUGCCUGUGAAUAGCCACUGCAAUCCAGCCUGGGCAACAUAGCGAGACCCUGUC